rnacentral:rRNA from 1 species
UGGGGAAUAUUGCACAAUGGGCGCAAGCCUGAUGCAGCCAUGCCGCGUGUAUGAAGAAGGCCUUCGGGUUGUAAAGUACUUUCAGCGAGGAGGAAGGCGGUAAGGUUAAUAACCUUAUCGAUUGACGUUACUCGCAGAAGAAGCACCGGCUAACUCCGUGCCAGCAGCCGCGGUAAUACGGAGGGUGCAAGCGUUAAUCGGAAUUACUGGGCGUAAAGCGCACGCAGGCGGUCGGUCAAGUCGGAUGUGAAAUCCCCGGGCUCAACCUGGGAACUGCAUUCGAAACUGGCAGGCUAGAGUCUUGUAGAGGGGGGUAGAAUUCCAGGUGUAGCGGUGAAAUGCGUAGAGAUCUGGAGGAAUACCGGUUGCGAAGGCGGCCCCCUGGACAAAGACUGACGCUCAGGUGCGAAAGCGUGGGGAGCAAACA